UACGUAGGGUGCAAGCGUUGUCCGGAAUUAUUGGGCGUAAAGAGCUCGUAGGCGGUCUGUCACGUCUGCUGUGAAAACUCGGGGCUUAACCCCGGGCCUGCAGUGGGUACGGGCAGACUAGAGUGCGGCAGGGGAGACUGGAAUUCCUGGUGUAGCGGUGAAAUGCGCAGAUAUCAGGAGGAACACCGGUGGCGAAGGCGGGUCUCUGGGCCGGAACUGACGCUAAGGAGCGAAAGCGUGGGGAGCGAACAGG
rnacentral:rRNA from 1 species